GUCUGGCCCUUGGGUAGCAUGUGCAGGCAUGCAGGUGGUGCUGCCAACAGACUAUAAGACUGAGGAGAUGAGGGUUGGCAGGAGCUGGGAAGGAACUCCAGGAAGUGGGGGUGCGUCUACCAGAAGCCCCUCCCCUGCACGUGGCUAUUGAUAUUGAUGGUAUCAGGUUCCUCUCCCAAACCACAAAUGGCCAUCGUCCCCCACCACUCCCAUCAUCUGGCUUCCCAGCCUGCCCCCAAAGUUCAGCUACCUCCACAUUCUCCUUGCCCCAUGCUAGCCAGGAGACCCAGGAGAAAUAAACCAAAAAAAGAGAUUGAAAAUUUAAUCAAAAGUAGCAAUAACAAACCAUGUGUGGAUAUCAGCCAGCAACUGAGUUGCAUGAACACCACCAAGAUCACUGCAGGCUGAGGCCCCUGAGAUCCUAGGAGUGCAAGAGAGGGCAGAGGCAGAGAGGGGAGAGGCCAAGGAGAAGGGGGCUGGCUUCCCCCAAUCGCCAGAGGGGAGGACAGGGUGUGACAGCAAGGCCCCAAACAUUCUCCUAAGGAACCCAGACGCUGUUCACUGUUCGGUCUAGACUGGAGUCUGGCAUUUCUUCUGAUUUCCUCAGUCUGGGACCUCAGAAGAGGCACAGGAGAAGAGAGAGUGAACAUCAGGAAGGGUUGAGGAUUCUGGAAUUCUCCUUGGUCUCUUCCUCUCAGAAAAAGUUGCUAAGAGAACACAACCCAGGCAGUCUCUUUUUAUUAUUUUUUCCUGGGGAGGGGUGAGGGUGCAGGUCUCAUAGAGCAGGAGGAGGCAGGAGGGCUUGAAGGAAAUGGUUCCAUCCUUCCACCCUAAGGGUCCUUGAUUGAACUCCGGUGGUCGGGCUUGGUGGCAAAUUCCCUUACCCAACAAGUCACCUCUGUGACACAGACACUCACUGUCUCUGCUUCCUGCUCACCAUGGUGUCGGCAGCUCUGCUCCACCAGGCACCUUCCCACCAGGAUGGAGUGAAACCUUUAGAACUACGGGCAAAAUAACCCCCCCCAAAAAAAAGUAGAGGAAAGGGAGAAGGAGGAAGAGGGGAGGAAGAGAGAAAGGAGGAGAGGAAGAAAAGGGGGUGUGGGGGAGGGGGAGGAGGAAGGAAGGAAGGAAGGAAGGAAGGAAGGAAGGAAGGAAGGAAGGAAGGAAGGAAGGAAGAAGGAAGAUGCAGCCCCCUGGGUUGAGUACAGUUUGAUGGUAACUGCAGCUCUUCUCAAGGGUAAUUCCAUUGACUCCCCUGACUCCCUCCAAUAUUGGGGGAUAAAACGUGGAGUCAGAUCAGAUAGAUAACAGAUAUUUUAUUAAGAAAUAGUACUCACAGAUCCACCUAGCCAGGCGGCAGGGAGCCAGGGAGGAAAGGAAGCAUGUGUGCCCCCCUCAAUUCUUUAAACCUUUCCCACUGACCACACAUGCUUUCUCCCUUCACUCCAAUGUCCCCUUGACCUUAGAGACCAGCUUCUUUAAAGGCUUUACCUAGUGGGGCCCUAGUCACCAUGUCCUUCUCAGUUUGCAGCUGCUGAAUUAUUCAUCCAUAGUGAAAGAUGGCCAAGGAGAGGCCGGAAUUAGGUUGCACAUGCCUGUGGCCCCAGCACUCGGGAUGCUGAAACAGCAGAAUUUCUUAUUUGAAGCUAGUCUGGGCUAGAUAGUAAGAUGCUUAAAAAACAAAAUGGUUCAGCAGUUAGGAGCACUUGCUGCUUUUGCAGAGGGCCUGGGUUUGGUUCCCAGCACCCACAUAAUGACUUGCAACCAUCCAUGAUUCCAGUCCCUGGUGACAUCCUCUCUGACCUCAGCAGGCACCAGAUACACACAGUGCACACACAUACACGCAGACAAACAUCUAUACACAUUAGACAAAAUUUAAAAAGCAGGGAGUUGAGGGCCUAGAGGACACCAAGGGACACUCCCCACUGGUCUCCCUGCCCACGGUGUGUGGAGGCCAUCCUACUUUCUCCUGCCAACUGACCAAGUCAACGACUCUGGUAAUGUGGUCACUCUUUCCUAACCCUCUGGCCUUUCGGCACAAAGAAAUGGCCAGGUGGCAGGUAUAGGUUAAAGUUUAAUGAGAGCAUCACUGUGUAUCCUGGUGAAAAUGUCCCUGUCUGGCAACCAGAGGAGACUUCUAGACACACAGAGCUUAACCUGUGUCUAAGACGUUAAGAACAAAGCAGGUCACGGUGGUGGCACAAGCCUUUAAUCCAGUACUCAGGAGGCAGAGGCAGCCGGAUCUCUGAGUUCGAGGUCAGCCUGGUCUACAGUGUGAGUUCCAGGACAGCCAAGACUACACAGAGAAAUCCUGUCUUGAAAACUCACAAAACAAAAAAGAACAAUAUUCCCCAAAAUGGCUCAGCAGAAAAAGUCACUGGCUGCACAAGCCAGGACUGUGAACGAGGAGUUCAAAGCCUGGAACCCACAGAAAGGUGAAAAAAGAGAACAGACUCCUUACAAAGUUGUCCUAUGACCUCCACACAUGCACAGUGCAAUGUGCACCCCACACACGCAUCAUAUCCAUCUGUCACCCAAAUCUGCUGGGCUGCUUGUCCUCAGUCUGGAGCUGUUGCAGAGCCCUCUCUGCCUGGGGCUGUCUCAAAGAUGCCAGCCCUCAUGUCACUUGGUAAAAUGGCGUGGGUUCCCAGGUCCCUUUGUGAACCAUUUGGAUCAUCCAUAGCAGGAAUGGAAAACUGGGCGUUUGCCACAUCGGGAGGCAGAUGUGUGUCUGACUGCCCUGGCUGAGGUGCUGUGGGCACUGAAGCCGCCUUAGCUGCCAUGGUUCUGCUUCUGUAGACAUCCACUCAAUGUCUUCUAGAACAUACUUUGUAGGCACCAAACCAGCGAAUUGAUAACUUAAGGACUGCCCCCAUACAUCUUGGACAUCUUGGGACUUUACUGGCCAUGCUCACUUCUGCCCCGGCCCACCCCACCUCUCCCCUGGGAUAUGGCAUUGGUUGGUGUUAUGUGACAGACUUUUUCCUAGGGAGACUUCACACACGUUUAUCAACCCCAGAAAGGGAACCCACAACAGACCAAGUAAUGAUUUUAUCAAAAUCCAAUCGUUUACUGAGAUUUCUAACAGGAAUAUGGCUGGGAAGUCACUUAUGGAAACAGGGAUGACUCUAAACAGCCAAAUCACUGAAAAGCCCACCCCAGCAGGGGUGACAACUCACAAAAGCUGUCUGAGGAAUCCCUCUCAGAUCUGCUGGUCAGUCCCCUCCUCUUCGUCUAUGAAACUGGGAGGGGCCUUGCGAAUCUCCCCAGUUUCCGAUUUCCCAGACAAUUGGCUUGAUGUUUCAUUUUACACUGGGUCCGGCUGAGACACCAUAUCCCACCCAGACUUCGACUCGGAGCCAGGAAGUGGAAUGACUCUGUGAACUCUGUGGAGAAACACAUGCUGCACCAAGCUUGGGCAGCAUUCUGUCGGGAUUCCACCCACUGCUUCUCCAACUGGGAUGCUGUGCAGAUCUUGGACCCUGCAUCCAACAGUCUCAGAAAGGUCUGGUUAUUCUUCCUUCAAGGAGGCACUGUGACUCCAGGAAGUGGCCAUGGGUCUCUUUGGAAAUAAAUAACCAGGCUAUCAGUGCCAUACGGUCAAGUGUGGCAGCAACUUUGGGGAUGGGUAACCUCCCUUUGGAAGAGUGGGUCUGGUGUGCACUCUAGCUCAGUAAACAACUGUGGCCUUUUCCUGUCACAGUGUCUGUCUUCAGUCUCUGAUGGUCCAUUGAAUCCUUCUGAUGGUGUAAAUUACGCCAGUACCCUUGCUGCCUGCUCCUCUGUCUCGUUCUGGGAACACCAGAUAACUAUCUGCCGAGUGCUGUUCAGACUUCCACCUGCCACUCCCGUCUUACAGUAAUUUUCCCCACCUUGCUCAUAAUUUUAAGUUCCACCAAGGGGUGUCAUUAUCUCAAGCUCCCCUCUUCCCUAUUGAUACCAGGGAAGACAGUCCAAUCACAGCAACUAUUAUUGCCAGCCUUGGCUUCUAGAGGUCAGCCAUCAUGGAGCUUCUGGACCACGCCACCCACCAUUGACCCUCUCUCACCAGCACCUGAGAAAUGCACCAUCGCCAGGAGUCCUUGGAGCUGGGGCAGCAGCUGGGGUUCUGACAUUUCUUAUUCACUGAGAUGAGUCCUACCUGGAUGUCCCCAAGUGUCAUCUUAGCAGCAGUGAGCAUCCUUCCUGAAGACCUUGCAAGGCUGUGAAAUCCUGUAUCCCUGGUGGACCUCUCCUGUUCCCACUUGGCACCACACUGCCUCCGGCCCAGGGGCCUUUGUCAUCAAUCCCUGCAAGUCAGCAGUGAUCCUGCAGCCUGCUUGGCACAACAUCUGCUUUGUGACCCUUUCCUGGGGAGAUGUAAACAAGUCUCUGCUCCCCAUCGGCCGCACACCAAUGACAGAUCGAAAUAACAAUUGCUCCAAAGUUCAGCGUCAGCUUGGAGAACCAAUGAGGAGUUUAUUGGGCUUACUUAUAGAGCACGGAUAAUGGUUACACACCGGAGCUCAGGUGACCUCAAAGCUGUCACAUCACUGAAAAAUCUCACCCAGCAUGGAUGAACCUUCCACAGUCUAUGUACUAGCCCCGCCCCGUGGCCUCCCGCCCCCGCCCCACGAUCUUGAGACUAUGUGCAGUUGAGGGAAAUUACUUACUGCUGCAGGGAGUGGCUGAAACCUCGGGUGGGGCUCUAGUGAGUCUCCUCAUCUUUCCUAGGAGAGAAUGUCAACAGUCCUGCCUCAAGGGUGUCUUGAGUGUUGUCAUGGCUGCUCUGAUGAAAAUGGUAACCGUUCUCGUGCCUGUGGGACAGUGCUCUCCAGCACCAUUCUUUACUUCCCUAAGUUGCAGCACAAUCACAUCUUGAUCCCAGUCAAGGCGGAUGUCUGUCUCAGGGUAGAUGCUUUCUGUUUUGCAAGCCUGAGGCCUGUCUCUACCAGCAGGUGGGACCACAACCUUUAACCAGGAGUGGGCCAAGUGUGCAGAGCCAGAGGGCUAGUGAGGACGUAGAGACUUGAGAUUGUCAAAUGCACCCACAAAAAGUCCCCACCCAUGUGCCAAUCAUCCGGAUCCCAUGCUCUCCCGCAGCCCUGACCCACGAGCAGCUUCUGGACUUGGGAUCCAGCAGCUUCUCAUUAAGCUACAGUCUGGUCCUCGGCAUCUUCCGUCCUCCACCUGAGGAACUGCGAGGCUCUUAACACACAUAGUCCAGGAGGCCCUGUGGGUUUUACACUUCACCGGGAUGGGUGACUGUUCCACCCUAGCCUGUCAUGAUCCUCCUCCCCCUAACCAUUACUCUACAACUUUGCUUUUGUAUUUGUAUUUAUAAUGAUUCUUCCACAUCUGUCAAAUGCUUGCCCACGCCAGCCAGUGCAUCUGCUCCUAUAACCUCUCAAUCCCAGGUCACCCCAAUUGUGCUUUUAACCUAUGCACUGACAGCAUGUGGUAGGCUUUCCAUAUUGUCCCUACCUCCAGGAACAGGUUUCUGGUUGCCAGAAAACCAACAGGUCAUGUGCCACAAAAAUCUCAUCUCAUCCAGGUGGUGGUGGUUCAUGCUUUUAAUUCCAGCAUUCAGGAGACAGAGGCAGGUGGAUCUCUGAGUCCAAGGCCAGCAUGGUCUACAAAAUGAAUUCCAGGACAGCCAGGGCUACACAGAGAAACCCUGUCUCAAAACAACAACAACAACAAAAAGUCUCAUCUCAAAUUGUCUCUCCCUGAUCUCUUCCCAUUCUUUCUUCCAUCAGAGCUCAGAAGCUGGCUCUGUGGAAGGAGAGCUGAAUUAGACAGAGGGGACUUGGCUUUGCCUCGGUGGUUAUAGAAGCCCCAGCUGGAAACACAUGGAAUCUCUGAAGUUCAACUGAACCCUUGGAGCUGUCUCAAAUGGAAGACUCUUGAUUCUCAAAAGAACUAUGAGAUUUAAGUUGUGGGGAAUGGAUGGGGGCAUUGGGAAGAACACACCUAUGGUCAAGAUUCCCCAAGGUUGAUUAACUGGUUAGAACUGUGGUUGUGAGAAAGUAAAACACCGCUAGUCAGACUCCAAUUAUCUUGGCCAACUUUAGCCUUCUUUUACACUUAUCUGCUCUGUGUGUGUGUGUGUGUGUGUG
rnacentral:lncRNA from 1 species